rnacentral:sRNA from 1 species
GUCUACUACUUUGAUGGGAAGGUAUGUGGGAGUUUUCUUGGAUUGAAUUGUGGGGGCUUUUGUAAAAAUAGGAACAUUUUGGCCCAAUAAUUAGAAAAAAGGAACAUUUAGAAUGGGCUUAUAGGUUUGGGCAUAUGUUUGCAACAAAUAUGACGCUUUUGCCCUUCGUCUUCAACACCAUCGUCUUCAACACCAUUGUCCAGACAUCGAUUUUGACGAUUCAUAGUGUUAUUAACAACACCAUCGUCUUCAACAAAAUUUUCCAGCCAACAUGUCUAUUCUGAUUAACCCAAUCAAUCAAAAUAAAUGAUUUUUGAUUGAAGAAAUCUAAACCCUAAAGGGAUACUAUCUAGGGAACCCUUGGGUUCUAAUCUUAAACACUCCAAUUCAUUAUUAAUUCUAAACCAAAUUUGAUUUUUAUUGUCAAUAGAGUUCAUCAUCAUCGUCACCAACUAAUAACAGAGGAUUUGGAAAAGUAAUUCUAGAGAUCCAAACUAUCACCUUCGCUUCUCACUAUCGCUCAACUCACCAUCGUCGUUGAAACUCACCAUCGUCGCCAACGCUAAUUGGAGGUCGAGAUCUUGCCGUCUUUUUCAUCACGAGACAUGAUUCAUGAGUCACCGCCGUUGCUUCUUACCGUUGUCAAAAUCGUUGUUGUUGCAGGAGCUCAAUCACCAUUGUAGGUUCAGUGGUAAGGGUAAACUCGUAAAAUACUUGCAUAGAAAAAUACUUAAAUCUAUAAGGCAUAUGAGAUAUGUCUGUUUUCAUAAAGAUAUAAACUUAAUUGUGUCAAUCCCAUAAUUAAUCCCUAAAUUGUGAGUUGCAGUUUUAGAGUUUAUGAGUCUUUUUUAAAAAAAUUAUUAUGUUCCAUUUUAAUAUAUUUUAGUACCAGGUUUACUUCCCCUUUUUUUUGGGUUUUAACUUCUUUCUUGUUUGAGUUUUGCUUUAGAGAUUUUAGUUUUUGUAAAGCAAAAAUUUGCUCCUGAUGAAUCAUGCCUAAUGCUACCUGUUCUUAUUGUCGAUUUGGUAGUCUUUCAUUGCAGCAAAUAUUCUUUCAAUCACUUCUUUCAAAAAAUCUACAUAUACAUUUUUGCA